AUGUGCCAAGUCUUUCUGCUCUUUUUCUAGUCCACAGCAGAGAAGCAAUACAGCAAAUUGACUGCUUGCUGCAUUCUCUCUCCUGUAGCUGUAAGAUGAUGAGCUGUUGCUACCACUGGAAGAGUGCUACUGGGUUUCUGGUGACAAAGUAAGCAGGCACUGAGGUUCCCCUGAGUCCCUUCCAGCUGCAAAUUCUCCUGGCAUGAAGCAGGGUAAUGCUGGAGAGUGAAUGUAUUUUCAGACCAUGUAUACAUGAGGGAGUUGAACGAAGAUUACUGGUGCUUCUGACUCCUCGAGCGGCCCGGCUUCUGCCUGUGCUACUUUCUUGGCUCUACCAGACAUCUGAGCUCACUGUCUGCGUGUUUACUGCAGUGAUGUACAGCCCAGUCCAGGCAUCAUUUCUGCUACACUGCGCUGUCAUUUGCCCACCAGUUACAGGAGCUGCUCUUCCAUGCCUCAAGGUACCUUGUCCAGCACCUUCAGAAAGUGUAACCUGUGUCCCAGGAAACAAUGGACCACAUUUGACACUGGGAAUAUGUGCAGCAACAUAA
rnacentral:lncRNA from 1 species